ACGCUGGCGGCGCGCCUAACACAUGCAAGUNGAGCGAGAACCAGGGCUUCGGCCCUGGSGACAGCGGCGAACGGGUGAGUAACACGUGGAUAACCUGCCCUCGGCACCGGAAUAGCCCGGGGAAACCCGGAUUAAUGCCGGAUAGCCCCACAUCCCUGCGGGGAACGUGGGAAAAGGUAGCUUCGGCCUCUGGCCGAGGAUGGGUCCGCGGUGGAUUAGCUUGUUGGCGGGGUAACGGCCCACCAAGGCGACGAUCCAUAGCUGGUCUGAGAGGACGAUCAGCCACACUGGGACUGAGACACGGCCCAGACUCCUACGGGAGGCAGCAGUGGGGAAUCUUGCGCAAUGGGCGAAAGCCUGACGCAGCGACGCCGCGCGGGAAGAAGGCCUUCGGGUUGUAAACCGCUUUCAGGAGGGACGAAGCCACUCGGGUGAAUAGCCCAGAGGGUGACGGUACCUCCAGAAGAAGCCCCGGCUAACUACGUGCCAGCAGCCGCGGUAAUACGUAGGGGGCAAGCGUUGUCCGGAUUCAUUGGGCGUAAAGAGCGUGUAGGCGGCCAGGUAGGU
rnacentral:rRNA from 1 species